rnacentral:lncRNA from 1 species
AGGUAGAGCUUUUGUUAUGUUGUGUGGUGAAUGUCGGGUGAUGAUUUUGGGGCUCCUUAAGAUUCUCUCACUGAGCUUUUGUCUAAAUGCUCACCCCUUCUUCUUCCCUUUCCAUUUCAGGUUCGGUUCACGUUGUUGGGUUUUUGUCAAAGACGUCCUGAAAUACUAAAAAUGCAUUGUUUCGGCCUUGUGACUAGAGAUAAGUGUCAUGAUAUCACCGACCAUUUCAGCAAUGCUGGGUCGGGAUGUCACAUUAAAUCUUUUUCUUUGUUAGCUUGUCUCUUUGCAGUAAGCCUUUCAGGUAUGGCUUCUCAUGUCCUAAUCCAGCAAACCCUUGAUAUAAUGUGCGACUGAACCAAUAUUGAUUGAGAAUGGGUUGUCUGUGCCUUUUCUGGAUUAAUCCCAACCAAGUAACAGAGAUGAUGUCUGGUCCGGAGCCUUGUGAUUGACUGUG